UACGUAGGCAGCAAGCGUUGUUCGGAGUUACUGGGCGUAAAGGGUGUGUAGGCGGUUCUUUAAGUUUGGUGUGAAAUCUCCCGGCUCAACUGGGAGGGUGCGCCGAAUACUGAGGGACUAGAGUACGGGAGAGGAAAGUGGAAUUCCUGGUGUAGCGGUGAAAUGCGUAGAUACCAGGAGGAACACCGGUGGUGUAGACGGCUUUCUGGACCGUAACUGACGCUGAGACACGAAAGCGUGGGUAGCAAACAGG
rnacentral:rRNA from 1 species